CGCGCAGGCGGUCGAUCAAGUCGAGUGUGAAAGCCCCCGGCUCAACUGGGGAGGGUCAUUCGAUACUGAUCGACUCGAAGACAGGAGAGGGUAGUGGAAUUCCCGGUGUAGUGGUGAAAUGCGUAGAUAUCGGGAGGAACACCAGUGGCGAAGGCGACUACCUGGCCUGUUCUUGACGCUGAGGCGCGAAAUGGAGGCAACG
rnacentral:rRNA from 1 species